GGAGCAGCCAUCUUAGGUGAGAGGCUGGAAAGGGGAGUGGGGACGCAGCUCCUCCCUUAGAGAUGUACAGUGAGCAGGCCACCGAGAAGCAGGCUCUCCACUCCGCAAUAAGCAGGUAUCCAGCAGCCUCCACAGGGGGUAGUGAGGCAGCAGUGCUUUCUUGAGCAACUAUCCCAACAGGACAGCUGAGAGAAUCUAAGGCACCGUUCUUUACCUGCGAACACCUCUCCUCCAGUCGUCUUCACAUAUCAGGAGAAUCUAAGGCACCGUUCUUUACCUGCGAACACCUCUACUCCAGUCGUCUUCACAUAUCAGUUUAGGCCAAAGGCUGCAGCGAGCUGGCUGGUGACUAAGCGACAGAGCAGCAGCACAAAUAAACAGCAGUUUAUAGCACAUCUAUGAAACAUUGCCACACAGCAGUGGCAGAAAAGUGGUGCAAGAUGGAAUUGUCCUUGGGCCUUCCCGUCCACCCUUAUGUUGGAUAUUAAAAAGGACAUAUACAGUUUAACAAA